UAGGGAAUCUUCGGCAAUGGACGAAAGUCUGACCGAGCAACGCCGCGUGAGUGAAGAAGGUUUUCGGAUCGUAAAGCUCUGUUGUAAGAGAAGAACGGGUGUGAGAGUGAAAAGUUCACACUGUGACGGUAUCUUACCAGAAAGGGACGGCUAACUACGUGCCAGCAGCCGCGGUAAUACGUAGGUCCCGAGCGUUGUCCGGAUUUAUUGGGCGUAAAGCGAGCGCAGGCGGUUAGAUAAGUCUGAAGUUAAAGGCUGUGGCUUAACCAUAGUACGCUUUGGAAACUGUUUAACUUGAGUGCAGAAGGGGAGAGUGGAAUUCCAUGUGUAGCGGUGAAAUGCGUAGAUAUAUGGAGGAACACCGGUGGCGAAAGCGGCUCUCUGGUCUGUAACUGACGCUGAGGCUCGAAAGCGUGGGGAGCGAACAGGAUUAGAUACCCUGGUAGUCCACGCCGUAAACGAUGAGUGCUAGGUGUUAGGCCCUUUCCGGGGCUUAGUGCCGCAGCUAACGCAUUAAGCACUCCGCCUGGGGAGUACGACCGCAAGGUU
rnacentral:rRNA from 1 species